UACGGAGGGUAGCAAGCGCUGCUCGGAAUUACUGGCCGUAAAGAGCACGCAUGCGUCUUGCCAGGACGGAAGUGAAAGCCCGGGAUUCAACCCCGGAAUUGCAUUCUAAACCGGGAUACUUGACUUCGAGAGAGGGGCCGUAGUUCCUGGUGUAGAGGAGAAAUUCGAUGAUAUCAGGAGGAACACCGGAGGACUAGGCGACCUCCUGACCUCGAUACUGACUCUCAUGUGCGAAAGUGUGUGGAGCGAACAGGAUUAUAUACCCUGGUAGCCCACGCCGUAGACGUUGAAUGCUAAGUGACGGGGGCAUCACCCCCUCGGAGCCGAAGAUAGCGCAGUACGCAUUCCGCCUGGGGAGUACGGUCGCAAGAUUAAAUCUCAAAGGAAUUGACGGGGUCCCGCACAAGCGGUGGAUCAUGUGGUUUAAUUCAAAUCAACGCGCAGAACCUUACCAACCCUUGACCUCCCGGGACUGCUGCAGAGAUGCAGUUUCCACUUCGGUGGCUCGGCGACAGGUGGUGCAUGGCUGUUGUCAGCUCGUGUCGUGAGAUGUUGGGGUAAGUCUCGCAUCGAGCGCAACGCACGUCGUUACUUGCCAGCAUUUAGUUGGGCACUCUAGCGAGACCGCCGCUGAUAAAUCGGAGGAAGGUGUGGAGGACGUCAAGUCAUCAUGCGCCUUACAUCAUGGGUCUACACACGUACUACAAUGCUACGGACAAAGGG
rnacentral:rRNA from 1 species